rnacentral:rRNA from 1 species
GAUGAACGCUAGCGAUAGGCUUAACACAUGCAAGUCGAGGGACCGGCGCACGGGUGCGUAACGCGUAUGCAACUUGCCUCACAGAGGGGGAUAACCCGGCGAAAGACGGACUAAUACCGCGUACUGUGAGAUAGGCAUGCGUCCCAUUAGCUAGUUGGUGAGGUAACGGCACACCAAGGCAACGAUGGGUAGGGGAACUGAGAGGGUGAACCCCCACACGGGGACGGAGACACGGACCAGACUCGUACGGUAGGCAGCAGUGAGGAAUAUUGGUGAAUGGGGGCGAGCCUGAACCAGCCAAGUCGCGUGAAGGAUGGCUGGCUAUGGAGUGUAAACUUCUUGUGUAGGCGAAUAUGCACCCUACGAAUAAGCCUCGGCUAACUCCGGGCCAGCAGCCGCGGUAAUAC